rnacentral:rRNA from 1 species
GCUGCGCAGCUACCAUGCAAGUCGAGCGGAACGAUCCUAGCUUGCUAGGAGGCGUCGAGCGGCGGACGGGUGAGUAAUGCAUAGGAAUCUGCCCGGUAGUGGGGGAUAACCUGGGGAAACCCAGGCUAAUACCGCAUACGCCCUACGGGGGAAAGCAGGGGAUCUUCGGACCUUGCGCUAUCGGAUGAGCCUAUGUCGGAUUAGCUAGUUGGUGAGGUAACGGCUCACCAAGGCUGCGAUCCGUAGCUGGUCUGAGAGGAUGAUCAGCCACAUCGGGACUGAGACACGGCCCGAACUCCUACGGGAGGCAGCAGUGGGGAAUAUUGGACAAUGGGCGAAAGCCUGAUCCAGCCAUGCCGCGUGUGUGAAGAAGGCCUUCGGGUUGUAAAGCACUUUCAGUGAGGAAGAAAGCCUUGAGGUUAAUACCCUCGAGGGAGGACAUCACUCACAGAAGAAGCACCGGCUAACUCCGUGCCAGCAGCCGCGGUAAUACGGAGGGUGCGAGCGUUAAUCGGAAUUACUGGGCGUAAAGCGCGCGUAGGCGGCUUGAUAAGCCGGUUGUGAAAGCCCCGGGCUCAACCUGGGAACGGCAUCCGGAACUGUCAGGCUAGAGUGCAGGAGAGGAAGGUAGAAUUCCCGGUGUAGCGGUGAAAUGCGUAGAGAUCGGGAGGAAUACCAGUGGCGAAGGCGGCCUUCUGGACUGACACUGACGCUGAGGUGCGAAAGCGUGGGUAGCAAACAGGAUUAGUCCCC